rnacentral:misc_RNA from 1 species
GUACUCUCACACUCUCCGAUCCUUUGGAUUGGGGAGCGGUGGACUUGGGUGUUUGCUGCAUUCGUUGUGGCUCACCUCAAAUGGAUUAGUACACCUCUUGGUUGGACAUAGUACGGCGUGAUAAGUGUCUUCGCCGGCACCUCAUAUAAGAGGGUGGCCAAUUUGGGGCUCUGUGCUUUCAAACCGUCUUCGGACAAUCUCUGACA